GAUGAUCCACCCGCCUCAGCCUCCCAAAGUGCUGAGAUUAUAGGCAUGAGCCACCGCACCUUGCUGAAACUCUCAUUUAAGUCUGUGUCUAUUGUAA